CCUUUCACGAGCUCCCAGUACCCAGGUGCACACGUGCGCUUGGUGCUCUCUUCCAUUCCACGCACCGUAGUGGAUCAUGAUCGUAAGCUCUCUACCUGCGCAAAACCACGUCUCGAAAUAAGUAUUGAACGAGAACUGGUAAAAAAAAAAAGAAUUAGGAAGCGUAGAAUAACAAUAUUACACCCGUAACUCAGCCUCUGCAGACAGCUGUUCUCAGCGCCUCUAAACCUCACGCAAAGAAAAAAAGUACAACUUCUCUUCUGCACAAGAAGAACGAAUUAGGCAAUUAGCAGCCACAGCUGUUGAGUCUGUUACACGUCUUCAAUAUAACGGGCUACUUUUAGUGACAGUUGCACAAGAUGAAGCACCUGACGUGGAUUGUAUUCUUCAUGACAGUUACAUCUGUUUUCAUAGGUGAGACGGGAGCAGACUUCACUGAACCGACAAAAUUGCCAUGCCAGAACCCCCAGGACGGUGACGAGCUAUGCAAGAUUCGGUGUGUCAUGAGAAACAACCACGGACGCACUGAGGGAAGGUGCGAGGGAGGCUGGUGCAUCUGCAAGAAACCCGCGUAGAAGAGCACAAUAUGUCGCUACAGUUUAAGGCGCCUCUACGGCAAGUCGACUGUGACGUUUGUUGUCCGCCAAAAUAAAGUCGCUUAGACAGAAUGGCGUAAA